rnacentral:rRNA from 1 species
CAAGGUGGAACCUGCACAGGGUGCUGCAUUGCUUGUCGUCAGUCUCGUUCCGUGAGUUGUUGGUUAAGUCCCGUAACGAGCGAAACCCCUGUGACUAGUUGCCAGCGCGUCAAGGCGGGGACUCUAGUCAGACCAGCCGGCGUCAAGCCGGAGGAAGGCGGGGACGACGUCAAGUCAUCAUGGCCCUUAUGCCCAGGGCUGCACACGUGCUACAAUGGGGCGGACAAAGCGUCGCCAGGCCGCAAGGCCGCAGCUAAUCGCAAAAAUCGCCCCUCAGUUCGGAUUGCGGGCUGCAACCCGCCCGCAUGAAGCUGGAAUCGCUAGUAAUCGCGGAUCAGCAGUGCCGCGGUGAAUGGGUUCCUGAGCCUUGUACACACCGCCCGUCAAGCCACCAAAGGGGGGGGCGCCCGAAGUCGCCGACGCCGCGAGGCAGGCGCCGAAGGUGAAACUCCUGAUGGGGACUAAGUCGUAACAAGUAACCGUAGGGGAACCUGCGGCUGGACACUUAAACAUCUGGAGCAUCGCGAGACCGACU